rnacentral:rRNA from 1 species
UACGUAGGGUGCAAGCGUUGUCCGGAAUUAUUAGGCGUAAAGAGCUCGUAGGCGGUUUGUCGCGUCUGCUGUGAAAACCCGAGGCUCAACCUCGGGCCUGCAGUGGGUACGGGCAGACUAGAGUGCGGUAGGGGAGAUUGGAAUUCCUGGUGUAGCGGUGGAAUGCGCAGAUAUCAGGAGGAACACCGAUGGCGAAGGCAGGUCUCUGGGCCACUACUGACGCUGAGAAGCGAAAGCAUGGGGAGCGAACAGG